AACCUUACCAGGCCUUGACAUGGUAGGGAACCCGGGUGAAAGCCUGGGGUGCCCCGCGAGGGGAGCCCUAGCACAGGUGCUGCAUGGCCGUUGUCAGCUUGUUCCGUGAGGUGUUGGGUUAAGUCCCGCAACGAGCGCAACCCCCGCCGUUAGUUGCCAGCGGGUGAGGCCGGGCACUCUAACGGGACUGCCCGCGAAAGCGGGAGGAAGGAGGGGACGACGUCUGGUCAGCAUGGCCCUUACGGCCUGGGCGACACACGUGCUACAAUGCCCACUACAAAGCGAUGCCACCCGGCAACGGGGAGCUAAUCGCAAAAAGGUGGGCCCAGUUCGGAUUGGGGU
rnacentral:rRNA from 1 species